GCAGGCUAAGCACGGCAUUCCAAUCAUCAGUCUUCCCAGGAACAUUUUCCAGCACGUCCUGGGGGAUCUUGAGGCGUUCCCAGUAAUCGGACUGAGACCAGAAUCCUGUUUGACUUGUUGGACAUCCAGCUGCUUCAUCCUGCUGGAAACACAGAAAAUGGCCUGCGUUCAUAUUCAGUGCAGAGGUUUAUCUCACUGCACUCCACAGUUGAGAUAGUGUGAUGGAUCCUGCAGCCAGCUGUCUUCGCCACCUGAGCCAUGUCGCUGUCGCCGUGUCGCCACUCCCUGCUCAGACACUGGGGGACAUGAGGGGUGAUGAGCAGUUAGCAGUUCCAUCAAGGAUCUCUGGGGCCAUCCGUGGAAAAUGAAACCAUCUCUGAACAGACUGUGAUGUUCCCCAGUCAGGACGCUCUCAGUGGUGCAGGAGUAGAAAUUCCUCAGUAUUUGAGGGGAUGCCCAGAAUUUCCUCAAGUGUCUGAGGUGAAACAGCCUCUGCCUUGCCUUUCCCACCACUGAGUCAGUGUGCAGCGCCCAGGUCAGGCCCACAGCGAUGUGACCAUGUGAUCAUUCAUCA